ensembl:lncRNA
UUUUGACGACUCCCGCAAGCUCGGUCCGCGCAGUUCACUGCGUUGAGGUUUGUCCUGGUCCCGCAGGAAGGCCAAGCCUCGCCAGGUGAGCCGGCUUUCCUGAGCACGCAGGUGGUCGCUCUGAAGCCCUGAGCGUGCACCUGUGGGCUUUCCCGUGGGGACUCGGCCUGUCCUGCCCCGAGGCCAUCCGCAGAAGCCAGUGUGUCCCCCAGGGUGCGAGCCUACCUGCGUCUGGCUGCCCUCCGCCCGCUCCACACCCGGGAGAGGCCAGCGCACCCACAUGCCUGAAGAACCGCACUGCUGCCUCGUGUUCCGCUUGUUCCGCUGAGCGGCUCAGUCCAGAGACCCGCGCCGCCCUCUUGUUUAUCUAAUCAACGUGCAGCGAGCUGGGGUCAGGGCUCAGCCUCACACGGUGCCAUGCACCCGUGAGCAGUGACUGCAGGUAUUCGGAAUUCCUACCGUGCGCCCGGAGAACCCUCAUCCCAAGUACCGCAGAUUCGAAAGCGGGGGAUGGCGCUCCCCGAGGCCUAGCAGACCUCGCAGUCCUCACAGCAAACCCUUCCUCACUCUGCAUAUCAUCACGGAGCAGAGCCUUCAGGCUCUCGGUGCUGACUCUGCAAUUCCUUCUAUCAGACCGUCUUAGACGUGGACAUAGACCCGCAUGAGACAGAGCCGCCGUGGCCGUGGAAUGCAGGACACAGUGGACCCCAAGAGGCACAGAAAUUCUCAACCAAAAUCAUUGCAUCGGUACCAUACUGACCCUGUUCUUUGACCAUGAAGCAAUAAAAUUAGAACUAAAUAUUCCAGAAGUACAACGAAAAGAGAGCCAUAUGUUUGGAACUUAAAAGCUUCAGAGCAUCAGUGCAAACAAAGCUUUUGAAACCAGGAGACAGAUCUAACCCACGCACUGCAAAUUAUGUAUAAAGACUGCCAACGUCACCGAUGGGGGCAGAAGCAACUCAAGAGGAACUGGAAAGAAGAGAGCACGGAAGCAUAGGGGGUUGUUAAAACCACCAGCAUAGAUACACCUUCUGAGUGUAAGAGCUUCCAUCCGUCUCUGCAUCCUGGAGAGGGCUCCCGGAGCUUGGGUCCACUGAAGCCUCAGGAGGCACUCGGGGGAGGCAGCGGUGUCUGUCUGGUCUGCAGCCGAAAUCCACCCCUGAGAAUGAGAGCUACCACAGACAGCACGGCACCCCUGAGGCUUCCUGAGGACAUUCAUAAAGGCUGAAAUUCCGCCGAACAAGUUAGGGAAAUAACAGGAAAAGCCAAAAACUCUGUGGUGUUUAUUUAAACAGAGAACUAAGACCUAAACAAACAUAAGGACUAGGGGAAAAGACUGUUUAAUAUGUAUGUUAUAGGGCCCGAAACAACUUAGGAAGGAGAAAUGUGGCUGAAAAGGGGCAAGAAAGAUGGGAAAUUGGAAUAAGCUCAUUGAAGGCUUAAUCCUCAGGAGCUGGGCAGGGCUAGAAUAUAGCUUAAAGCCAAUAGGUAAUUAAAGCGUAAAGAUAUGUAACUGUACCAAGACAAAAACUAGGGAUAAGCAUACUAAUAAAUAUAAAACAAGUGACCAAGGAGUGAGA